UACGGAGGAGGCAAGCGUUAUCCGGAAUUAUUGGGCGUAAAGCGUCCGUAGGUGGCUCUUCAAGUCUGCUGUCAAAGAGUGGGGCUUAACCCUGCAAAGGCAGUGGAAACUGAAAGGCUAGAGAGCCGUAGGGGUAGAGGGAAUUCCCGGUGUAGCGGUGAAAUGCGUAGAGAUGUGGAGGAACACCGAUGGCGAAGGCAGCCCCCUGGGUCAACACUGACGCUCAUGCACGAAAGCGUGGGGAGCAAACAGG
rnacentral:rRNA from 1 species